UACGGAGGGGGCUAGCGUUGUUCGGAAUUAUUGGGCGUAAAGCGCGCGUAGGCGGUCCGGUAAGUCCGCUGUGAAAGUCGGGGGCUCAACCCUCGGAUGCCGGUGGAUACUGUCGGGCUUGAGUGCGGAAGAGGCGAGUGGAAUUCCUGGUGUAGCGGUGAAAUGCGCAGAUAUCAGGAGGAACACCAAUUGCGAAGGCAGCUCGCUGGGACGUAACUGACGCUGAUGCGCGAAAGCGUGGGGAGCAAACAGG
rnacentral:rRNA from 1 species